CGAGUGAAGCGGUAACAGCUCAAAUUUGAAAUCUGGCCUCACGGUCCGAGUUGUAAUUUGUAGAGGAUGUUUCGAGCAUGGUCUGGCCUAAGUUCCUUGGAACAGGACGUCAUAGAGGGUGAGAAUCCCGUAUGCGGUCAGGUGCCUACGCUCAUGUGAAACUCCUUCGACGAGUCGAGUUGUUUGGGAAUGCAGCUCAAAAUGGGUGGUAAAUUUCAUCUAAAGCUAAAUAUUGGCCAGAGACCGAUAGCGCACAAGUAGAGUGAUCGAAAGAUGAAAAGCACUUUGGAAAGAGAGUUAAACAGUACGUGAAAUUGUUGAAAGGGAAGCGCUUGCAACCAGACUUGCGCGCGGCUGAUCAUCCGGUGUUCUCACUGGUGCACUCGGUCGCGCUCAGGCCAGCAUCGGUUUUGGUGGUUGGAUAAAGGCCUUAGGAAUGUAGCUCCUCUCGGGGAGUGUUAUAGCCUAGGGUGCAAUGCAGCCUACCGGGACCGAGGACCGCGCUUCGGCUAGGAUGCUGGCGUAAUGGUUGUAAGCGGCCCGUCUUGAAACACGGACCAAGGAGUCUAACAUCUAUGCGAGUGUUUGGGUGUCAAACCCAUACGCGUAAUGAAAGUGAACGGAGGUGAGAACCCUUAAGGGUGCAUCAUCGACCGAUCCUGAUGUCUUCGGAUGGAUUUGAGUAAGAGCAUAGCUGUUGGGACCCGAAAGAUGGUGAACUAUGCCUGAAUAGGGUGAAGCCAGAGGAAACUCUGGUGGAGGCUCGCAGCGGUUCUGACGUGCAAAUCGAUCGUCAAAUUUGGGUAUAGGGGCG
rnacentral:rRNA from 2 species